CACAUGGUUACCUAGCUAUUCAAAAUCUUACGGUGUUGUUGGCUACAGUAGGUCUAUUAUAGGAAUAGAGUUUGCACCUAGAUGGUAUCUGUCGAUCCUCGUAGAUAGAGAGAGGUCCUAUAAAUUUAUGAAAUUGAGUCUUAAAAUCCAUGGCCAUAGUAGGUGAAUGAUGGAAAGGAGUUUCCAUAAGAUUUCAUAUAGACUCUAGUCAAUUGAAUCUGACAUAUGACGAACGAAC
rnacentral:lncRNA from 1 species